rnacentral:rRNA from 1 species
AUUGAACGCUGGCGGCAUGCCUUACACAUGCAAGUCGAACGGCAGCACGGGAGCAAUCCUGGUGGCGAGUGGCGAACGGGUGAGUAAUAUAUCGGAACGUGCCCAGCCGGGCGGGAUAACGCAGCGAAAGCUGUGCUAAUAACGCAUACGAUCUAAGGAUGAAAGCGGGGGAUCGCAAGACCUCGCGCGAUUGGAGCGGCCGAUAUCAGUUUAGUUAGUUGGUGGGGUAAAGGCCCACCAAGGCGACGAUCUGUAGCUGGUCUGAGAGGACGACCAGCCACACUGGAACUGAGACACGGUCCAGACUCCUACGGGAGGCAGCAGUGGGGAAUUUUGGACAAUGGGCGCAAGCCUGAUCCAGCAAUGCCGCGUGCAGGAUGAGGGCCUUCGGGUUGUAAACUGCUUUUGUACGGAACGAAACGGCCCUUUCUAAUACAGGGGGCUAAUGACGGUACCGUAAGAAUAAGCACCGGCUAACUACGUGCCAGCCGCCGCGGUAA